rnacentral:rRNA from 1 species
GAUGAACGCUGGCGGCGUGCUUAACACAUGCAAGUCGAACGAAGCAUUUAGAACAGAUUACUUCGGUUUGAAGUUCUAUAUGACUGAGUGGCGGACGGGUGAGUAACGCGCGGGUAACCUGCCUUGUACUGGGGGAUAGCAGCUGGAAACGGCUGGCAAUACCGCAUAAGCGCACAAUGUUGCAUGACAUGGUGUGAAAAACUCCGGUGGUAUAAGAUGGACCCGCGUCUGAUUAGCUAGUUGGUGAGAUAACAGCCCACCAAGGCGACGAUCAGUAGCCGACCUGAGAGGGUGACCGGCCACAUUGGGACUGAGACACGGCCCAGACUCCUACGGGAGGCAGCAGUGGGGAAUAUUGCACAAUGGAGGAAACUCUGAUGCAGCGACGCCGCGUGAGUGAAGAAGUAAUUCGUUAUGUAAAGCUCUAUCAGCAGGGAAGAUAGUGACGGUACCUGACUAAGAAGCUCCGGCUAAAUACGUGCCAGCCGCCGCCGUAA